rnacentral:lncRNA from 1 species
AGUAGCUCUGGAAAGGAGUCAAGUGGCAAUUUGCUCCAUGCAUGGCCAUUGCAGAGGGCAGGACUUGGAGGAGGAAUGCUCUUGUGCUUUUUCCUGCAGAUGCACAGCUGUGUAGUUGCUAAUGGGCACGGAUGUGGAGAUGGGCUGGAGCAAUGGAAGAUAUAUUUUAUAAAAGAUCUGUAUCCUGAGCCUCAACCCAGCUCAGCAUCUCCUUCCUGCCCAACCUUACCUCCUGAACCAGAGGAACCCAUUACUGCUGCUCCACACUCCAGCCCUGACACCUCCCUGCCCAUGCUGGAGCGCACCAUGGACUCACUGCUGGUUGACUUCGCUAUCUCACUCCUGGUGGAUCUCAUGCUGGGGAGCGACUCCAAAGACUCGCUGAAAUGAAGGAGCAACGUAAUGGAGAGAUGGGAAAGUACGGAAUUUUGCUUUCUGAAAGUCAGGACACACGUGACAUGUAGAAAAAUAGACUCUGCGCAGUUUUGCUCGGCCUCACAAAAUAAUUUUUUCCCCUGUGAGAACAGUUCGCAUGAUAAUAAAUUAUCAAAGAAACUAUUUAAGGCUCUUGAA